rnacentral:rRNA from 1 species
GGGAAGGCCCAGACAGCCAGGAUGUUGGCUUAGAAGCAGCCAUCAUUUAAAGAAAGCGUAAUAGCUCACUGGUCGAGUCGGCCUGCGCGGAAGAUGUAACGGGGCUAAACCAUGCACCGAAGCUGCGGCAGCGACACUGUGUGUUGUUGGGUAGGGGAGCGUUCUGUAAGCCUGUGAAGGUGUGUCGUGAGGCAUGCUGGAGGUAUCAGAAGUGCGAAUGCUGACAUAAGUAACGAUAAAGCGGGUGAAAAGCCCGCUCGCCGGAAGACCAAGGGUUCCUGUCCAACGUUAAUCGGGGCAGGGUGAGUCGACCCCUAAGGCGAGGCCGAAAGGCGUAGUCGAUGGGAAACGGGUUAAUAUUCCCGUACUUGGUGUUACUGCGAAGGGGGGACGGAGAAGGCUAUGUUGGCCGGGCGACGGUUGUCCCGGUUUAAGCGUGUAGGCUGGUUUUCCAGGCAAAUCCGGAAAAUCAAGGCUGAGGCGUGAUGACGAGGCACUACGGUGCUGAAGCAACAAAUGCCCUGCUUCCAGGAAAAGCCUCUAAGCAUCAGGUAACAUCAAAUCGUACCCCAAACCGACACAGGUGGUCAGGUAGAGAAUACCAAGGCGCUUGAGAGAACUCGGGUGAAGGAACUAGGCAAAAUGGUGCCGUAACUUCGGGAGAAGGCACGCUGACACGUAGGUGAAGUGAUUUACUCAUGGAGCUGAAGUCAGUCGAAGAUACCAGCUGGCUGCAACUGUUUAUUAAAAACACAGCACUGUGCAAACACGAAAGUGGACGUAUACGGUGUGACGCCUGCCCGGUGCCGGAAGGUUAAUUGAUGGGGUCAGCGCAAGCGAAGCUCCUGAUCGAAGCCCCGGUAAACGGCGGCCGUAACUAUAACGGUCCUAAGGUAGCGAAAUUCCUUGUCGGGUAAGUUCCGACCUGCACGAAUGGCGUAAUGAUGGCCAGGCUGUCUCCACCCGAGACUCAGUGAAAUUGAACUCGCUGUGAAGAUGCAGUGUACCCGCGGCAAGACGGAAAGACCCCGUGAACCUUUACUAUAGCUUGACACUGAACAUUGAGCCUUGAUGUGUAGGAUAGGUGGGAGGCUUUGAAGUGUGGACGCCAGUCUGCAUGGAGCCGACCUUGAAAUACCACCCUUUAAUGUUUGAUGUUCUAACGUGGACCCGUUACCCGGGUUGCGGACAGUGUCUGGUGGGUAGUUUGACUGGGGCGGUCUCCUCCUAAAGAGUAACGGAGGAGCACGAAGGUUGGCUAAUCCUGGUCGGACAUCAGGAGGUUAGUGCAAUGGCAUAAGCCAGCUUGACUGCGAGCGUGACGGCGCGAGCAGGUGCGAAAGCAGGUCAUAGUGAUCCGGUGGUUCUGAAUGGAAGGGCCAUCGCUCAACGGAUAAAAGGUACUCCGGGGAUAACAGGCUGAUACCGCCCAAGAGUUCAUAUCGACGGCGGUGUUUGGCACCUCGAUGUCGGCUCAUCACAUCCUGGGGCUGAAGUAGGUCCCAAGGGUAUGGCUGUUCGCCAUUUAAAGUGGUACGCGAGCUGGGUUUAGAACGUCGUGAGACAGUUCGGUCCCUAUCUGCCGUGGGCGCUGGAGAACUGAGGGGGGCUGCUCCUAGUACGAGAGGACCGGAGUGGACGCAUCACUGGUGUUCGGGUUGUCAUGCCAAUGGCACUGCCCGGUAGCUAAAUGCGGAAGAGAUAAGUGCUGAAAGCAUCUAAGCACGAAACUUGCCCCGAGAUGAGUUCUCCCUGAGACUUAGAGUCUCCUGAAGGAACGUUGAAGACGACGACGUUGAUAGGCCGGGUGUGUAAGCGCAGCGAUGCGUUGAGCUAACCGGUACUAAUGAACCGUGAGGCUUAACCUU